GGUUAAGCGACUAAGCGUACACGGUGGAUGCCCUGGCAGUCAGAGGCGAUGAAGGACGUGCUAAUCUGCGAUAAGCGUCGGUAAGGUGAUAUGAACCGUUAUAACCGGCGAUUUCCGAAUGGGGAAACCCAGUGUGAUUCGUCACACUAUCAUUAACUGAAUCCAUAGGUUAAUGAGGCGAACCGGGGGAACUGAAACAUCUAAGUACCCCGAGGAAAAGAAAUCAACCGAGAUUCCCCCAGUAGCGGCGAGCGAACGGGGAGCAGCCCAGAGCCUGAAUCAGUGUGUGUGUUAGUGGAAGCGUCUGGAAAGGCGCGCGAUACAGGGUGACAGCCCCGUACACAAAAAUGCACAUGCUGUGAGCUCGAUGAGUAGGGCGGGACACGUGGUAUCCUGUCUGAAUAUGGGGGACCAUCCUCCAAGGCUAAAUACUCCUGACUGACCGAUAGUGAACCAGUACCGUGAGGGAAAGGCGAAAAGAACCCCGGCGAGGGGAGUGAAAAAGAACCUGAAACCGUGUACGUACAAGCAGUGGGAGCCUCUUUAUGGGGUGACUGCGUACCUUUUGUAUAAUGGGUCAGCGACUUAUAUUCUGUAGCAAGGUUAACCGAAUAGGGGAGCCGAAGGGAAACCGAGUCUUAACUGGGCGUUAAGUUGCAGGGUAUAGACCCGAAACCCGGUGAUCUAGCCAUGGGCAGGUUGAAGGUUGGGUAACACUAACUGGAGGACCGAACCGACUAAUGUUGAAAAAUUAGCGGAUGACUUGUGGCUGGGGGUGAAAGGCCAAUCAAACCGGGAGAUAGCUGGUUCUCCCCGAAAGCUAUUUAGGUAGCGCCUCGUGAAUUCAUCUCCGGGGGUAGAGCACUGUUUCGGCAAGGGGGUCAUCCCGACUUACCAACCCGAUGCAAACUGCGAAUACCGGAGAAUGUUAUCACGGGAGACACACGGCGGGUGCUAACGUCCGUCGUGAAGAGGGAAACAACCCAGACCGCCAGCUAAGGUCCCAAAGUCAUGGUUAAGUGGGAAACGAUGUGGGAAGGCCCAGACAGCCAGGAUGUUGGCUUAGAAGCAGCCAUCAUUUAAAGAAAGCGUAAUAGCUCACUGGUCGAGUCGGCCUGCGCGGAAGAUGUAACGGGGCUAAACCAUGCACCGAAGCUGCGGCAGCGACACUAUGUGUUGUUGGGUAGGGGAGCGUUCUGUAAGCCUGUGAAGGUGUACUGUGAGGUAUGCUGGAGGUAUCAGAAGUGCGAAUGCUGACAUAAGUAACGAUAAAGCGGGUGAAAAGCCCGCUCGCCGGAAGACCAAGGGUUCCUGUCCAACGUUAAUCGGGGCAGGGUGAGUCGACCCCUAAGGCGAGGCCGAAAGGCGUAGUCGAUGGGAAACAGGUUAAUAUUCCUGUACUUGGUGUUACUGCGAAGGGGGACGGAGAAGGCUAUGUUGGCCGGGCGACGGUUGUCCCGGUUUAAGCGUGUAGGCUGGUUUUCCAGGCAAAUCCGGAAAAUCAAGGCUGAGGCGUGAUGACGAGGCACUACGGUGCUGAAGCAACAAAUGCCCUGCUUCCAGGAAAAGCCUCUAAGCAUCAGGUAACAUCAAAUCGUACCCCAAACCGACACAGGUGGUCAGGUAGAGAAUACCAAGGCGCUUGAGAGAACUCGGGUGAAGGAACUAGGCAAAAUGGUGCCGUAACUUCGGGAGAAGGCACGCUGAUACGUAGGUGAAGCGACUUGCUCGUGGAGCUGAAAUCAGUCGAAGAUACCAGCUGGCUGCAACUGUUUAUUAAAAACACAGCACUGUGCAAACACGAAAGUGGACGUAUACGGUGUGACGCCUGCCCGGUGCCGGAAGGUUAAUUGAUGGGGUUAGCGGUAACGCGAAGCUCUUGAUCGAAGCCCCGGUAAACGGCGGCCGUAACUAUAACGGUCCUAAGGUAGCGAAAUUCCUUGUCGGGUAAGUUCCGACCUGCACGAAUGGCGUAAUGAUGGCCAGGCUGUCUCCACCCGAGACUCAGUGAAAUUGAACUCGCUGUGAAGAUGCAGUGUACCCGCGGCAAGACGGAAAGACCCCGUGAACCUUUACUAUAGCUUGACACUGAACAUUGAGCCUUGAUGUGUAGGAUAGGUGGGAGGCUUUGAAGUGUGGACGCCAGUCUGCAUGGAGCCGACCUUGAAAUACCACCCUUUAAUGUUUGAUGUUCUAACGUUGGCCCCUAAUCGGGGUUGCGGACAGUGUCUGGUGGGUAGUUUGACUGGGGCGGUCUCCUCCUAAAGAGUAACGGAGGAGCACGAAGGUUGGCUAAUCCUGGUCGGACAUCAGGAGGUUAGUGCAAUGGCAUAAGCCAGCUUGACUGCGAGCGUGACGGCGCGAGCAGGUGCGAAAGCAGGUCAUAGUGAUCCGGUGGUUCUGAAUGGAAGGGCCAUCGCUCAACGGAUAAAAGGUACUCCGGGGAUAACAGGCUGAUACCGCCCAAGAGUUCAUAUCGACGGCGGUGUUUGGCACCUCGAUGUCGGCUCAUCACAUCCUGGGGCUGAAGUAGGUCCCAAGGGUAUGGCUGUUCGCCAUUUAAAGUGGUACGCGAGCUGGGUUUAGAACGUCGUGAGACAGUUCGGUCCCUAUCUGCCGUGGGCGCUGGAGAACUGAGGGGGGCUGCUCCUAGUACGAGAGGACCGGAGUGGACGCAUCACUGGUGUUCGGGUUGUCAUGCCAAUGGCACUGCCCGGUAGCUAAAUGCGGAAGAGAUAAGUGCUGAAAGCAUCUAAGCACGAAACUUGCCCCGAGAUGAGUUCUCCCUGACUCCCUGAGAGUCCUGAAGGAACGUUGAAGACGACGACGUUGAUAGGCCGGGUGUGUAAGCGCAGCGAUGCGUUGAGCUAACCGGUACUAAUGAACCGUGAGGCUUAACCUU
rnacentral:rRNA from 1 species